AUGUUUACCUGGCAGGGACAAUACCAGGCCCACAAAGGUGGUUUUCCAAGGGCAAGAUUUAACCAUUGCACUCUGGAUGUACCUCAUGUGAUUUCCCUAAAUGUGGGAAACUCCACCACAUGGUUUGUGGUAGUGGGGAACUGAAUUCACACUCUUCCCAU
rfam:Neotoma lepida isolate 417 scaffold_1359, whole genome shotgun sequence.